rnacentral:rRNA from 1 species
AGGCCUAACACAUGCAAGUCGAGGGGCAGCACGUCUUCGGAUGGUGGCGACCGGCGCACGGGUGCGUAACACGUAUGCAACUUACCUUCUACAGGAGGAUAACCCGUUGAAAGACGGACUAAUACUCCAUAAUACAGGGGUCCCGCCUGGGAAUAUUUGUUAAAGAUUUAUCGGUAGAAGAUGGGCAUGCGCAUGAUUAGCUGGUUGGUAGGGUAACGGCCUACCAAGGCAACGAUCAUUAGGGGUUCUGAGAGGAAGGUCCCCCACACUGGUACUGAGACACGGACCAGACUCCUACGGGAGGCAGCAGUGAGGAAUAUUGGUCAAUGGGCGAGAGCCUGAACCAGCCAAGUCGCGUGAAGGAUGAAGGUAUUAUGUAUUGUAAACUUCUUUUGUAUGGGAAUAAGGUGGGCUACGUGUAGUUUUUUGUAUGUACCAUACGAAUGAGGAUCGGCUAACUCCGUGCCAGCAGCCGCGGUAAUACGGAGGAUCCGAGCGUUAUCCGGAUUUAUUGGGUUUAAAGGGUGCGUAGGCGGAAGGUUAAGUCAGUGGUGAAAGUUUGCAGCUCAACUGUAAAAUUGCCAUUGAAACUGAUUUUCUUGAGUGCAAAUGAGGUAGGCGGAAUGUGUAGUGUAGCGGUGAAAUGCUUAGAUAUUACCCAGAACUCCGAUUGCGAAGGCAGCUUACUGGGGAUGCAGCUGACGCUGAAGCACGAAAGCGUGGGGAUCAAACAGGAUUAGAUACCCUGGUAGUCCACGCCGUAAACGAUGAAUACUAGCUGUAUGCGAUAUACUGUAUGCGGCACAGCGAAAGCGUUAAGUAUUCCACCUGGGGAGUACGUUCGCAAGAAUGAAACUCAAAGGAAUUGACGGGGGCCCGCACAAGCGGAGGAACAUGUGGUUUAAUUCGAUGAUACGCGAGGAACCUUACCCGGGCUUGAAAUGCAUCUGACCGAAGUGGAAACACUUUUUCUAGCAAUAGCAGAUGUGUAGGUGCUGCAUGGUUGUCGUCAGCUCGUGCCGUGAGGUGUCGGCUUAAGUGCCAUAACGAGCGCAACCCUUAUUGUUAGUUACCAUCAUUCAGUUGGGGACUCUAACAAGACUGCCACCGUAAGGUGCGAGGAAGGUGGGGAUGACGUCAAAUCAGCACGGCCCUUACGUCCGGGGCGACACACGUGUUACAAUGGGGGGUACAGAGGGUUGCUACCUGGUGACAGGAUGCUAAUCUCCAAAAGCCUCUCUCAGUUCGGAUCGAAGUCUGCAACUCGACUUCGUGAAGCUGGAUUCGCUAGU